GCCAUAUCAUACUCAAACACUAGUUCCCAUACAAUCACUAAAGUUAAGCAGUAUUGAGCCUGGUCAGUACCUAGAUGUAUGACCGCUUGGGAAUACCAGGUGCUGUAA